rnacentral:rRNA from 1 species
UCGGGCGUUCCCCUUCGGGGGACAGGGUGACAGGUGGUGCAUGGUUGUCGUCAGCUCGUGUCGUGAGAUGUUGGGUUAAGUCCCGCAACGAGCGCAACCCUGACCUUAGUUGCCAGCAUUCAGUUGGGCACUCUAAGGUGACUGCCGGCUAAAAGUCGGAGGAAGGUGGGGAUGACGUCAAAUCAUCAUGCCCCUUAUGACCUGGGCUACACACGUGCUACAAUGGGCGGUACAAAGGGUCGCGAACCCGCGAGGGGGAGCCAAUCCCAAAAAGCCGCUCUCAGUUCGGAUUGCAGGCUGCAACUCGCCUGCAUGAAGCCGGAAUCGCUAGUAAUCGCGGAUCAGCAUGCCGCGGUGAAUACGUUCCCGGGCCUU